rfam:Camelus ferus unplaced genomic scaffold scaffold320, whole genome shotgun sequence.
GGGGUACAGCUCAGUGGUAGAGCACGUGCUUAGCAUGCACAAGGUCCUGGGUUCAGUCCCCAGUAUUGCCA